CAGUCGCACGUUGGAUCAGGUAGCGCACGUUCGUGAAGGUGUGAGAGUCAUCGCGUCUGUUCCCCGCCAGAUAUCCCAAAAUCAUCAGAGAGCAGUUCGGCGAAGGUAGAGUCACAGGAAGGUUCACAAGGGAAGUCAGGGGA
rnacentral:misc_RNA from 1 species